GAACUGAAGAGUUUGAUCAUGGCUCAGAUUGAACGCUGGCGGCAGGCCUAACACAUGCAAGUCGAGCGGAUGAAGGGAGCUUGCUCCUGGAUUCAGCGGCGGACGGGUGAGUAAUGCCUAGGAAUCUGCCUGGUAGUGGGGGAUAACGUCCGGAAACGGGCGCUAAUACCGCAUACGUCCUGAGGGAGAAAGUGGGGGAUCUUCGGACCUCACGCUAUCAGAUGAGCCUAGGUCGGAUUAGCUAGUUGGUGGGGUAAAGGCCUACCAAGGCGACGAUCCGUAACUGGUCUGAGAGGAUGAUCAGUCACACUGGAACUGAGACACGGUCCAGACUCCUACGGGAGGCAGCAGUGGGGAAUAUUGGACAAUGGGCGAAAGCCUGAUCCAGCCAUGCCGCGUGUGUGAAGAAGGUCUUCGGAUUGUAAAGCACUUUAAGUUGGGAGGAAGGGCAGUAAGUUAAUACCUUGCUGUUUUGACGUUACCAACAGAAUAAGCACCGGCUAACUUCGUGCCAGCAGCCGCGGUAAUACGAAGGGUGCAAGCGUUAAUCGGAAUUACUGGGCGUAAAGCGCGCGUAGGUGGUUCAGCAAGUUGGAUGUGAAAUCCCCGGGCUCAACCUGGGAACUGCAUCCAAAACUACUGAGCUAGAGUACGGUAGAGGGUGGUGGAAUUUCCUGUGUAGCGGUGAAAUGCGUAGAUAUAGGAAGGAACACCAGUGGCGAAGGCGACCACCUGGACUGAUACUGAC
rnacentral:rRNA from 1 species